CCCAAGCACUUGGCCUCAC
rnacentral:piRNA from 1 species